GACAAAUCGGUGAGCCUACUCGGCGAUAAGAACAAGAUCACUCUGUCUGACAUCUAUGAAAGCCUUCGAGUUCUCACCUCGCGUGUUGGCACCAGUCAGAUCAACGACGACGAGUACUGCAGGGCCAAACACGGACUGCCGCUGCCCUCGGACCCCCCUGGCUCCCCACCAGCCAUGCCGGCCAGGCGGAGGAGGCCGUUCCAGUCGGGUAUUACUAUUACACCACCGCGGUAUUACGGCUGGGCUUCGACCCAUGCCGAUUCGCUCACCGCAUUCGAUAGCAGCUCAGUCAUGGUGUUGUCGGACCUUGUCACCGAGGCGCGCAACUGCAUUGCCAAAAUCCGCCUAGCUUAUCCUUGGCG